rnacentral:misc_RNA from 1 species
GAUGAAGAACGUAGCGAAAUGCGAUAAGUAAUGUGAAUUGCAGAAUUCAGUGAAUCAUCGAAUCUUUGAACGCACAUUGCGCCCUCUGGUAUUCCGGGGGGCAUGCCUGUUCGAGCGUCAUUAUAACCACUCAAGCUCUCGCUUGGUAUUUGAGUUCGCGAUCUCGCGGCUCCUAAAAUCAGUGGCGGUGCCUGUCGGCUCUACGCGUAGUAAUACUCCUCGCGAUUGAGUCCGGUAGGUUUACUUGCCAGCAACCCCCAAUUUUUACAGGUUGACCUCGGAUCAGGUAGGGAUACCCGCUGAACUUAAGCAUAUCAAUAAGCGGAGGA